CCCCCUAGUGCCAGAAAAGAAAGAUUUUAACUCUCACCACUAUCUCCCAAAGAUAGCAUUCUAAAAAAUUUA
rnacentral:tRNA from 1 species